CUGAGGGCGUUUAUGAGCUUUACCACAAGAUGAUCGGCAGGAAAUUUGUUCCGAAAACUCAGACUAUGGUCAUGUUGAUGAAAUUCUUUUGUGUAAAUGGCCAGGUUGAUUUGGGAUUGGAUUUUUGGCAAUACUUGUUGGAGAAGGGAUAUUGUCCCCAUGGUCAUGCAUUGGAUCUUUUAGUUACAGCAUUGUGCUCACGGGGGAGGUUGCAAGAAGCAUUCGAGUGCUCGAAACAAUUUUUGGAGAGAGGAAUGCGUUUGAGUGAAGUUGUAUAUCGGAUGUUGGAGAGAUUUUUACAGCAAUCUGAUAACACAGACAAGCUGAGGGAGAUCAAUGAAAUGAUAAAGAAAUU
rnacentral:misc_RNA from 1 species